GACGUAGGGGGCGAGCGUUAUUCGGAAUUAUUGGGCGUAAAGAGCUCGUAGGCGGUCUGUCACGUCGGCUGUGAAAUCCCGAGGCUCAACCUCGGGUCUGCAGUCGAUACGGGCAAACUAGAGUAUUGCAGGGGAGACUGGAAUUCCUGGUGUAGCGGUGAAAUGCGCAGAUAUCAGGAGGAACACCGGUGGCGAAGGCGGGUCUCUGGGCAAUAACUGACGCUGAGGAGCGAAAGCGUGGGGAGCGAACAGG
rnacentral:rRNA from 1 species